AUCCUUCUGGUUCUUAAACAUGAUGACUGGGUUGUCACACGGCUGUGUGAUAUGUGCACCCUCCUGUUACGACUUUGCACAUUACCCAUCUGACU
rnacentral:snoRNA from 1 species